GGGGGCGAUAGGCUUCGACGGAGAUAGUUUGCGUUCAGGUUGCAUGUCGAGUUUCCGGUACUCGUUAAACAACGGAACUUUAAAACAAACGCAGACACACAGUUUGCAAUGGCUGCUUAAAAGCAUGCGGCCCGUCCUACCGGUCAUUGCCCGGGUGAGCGGAUAGGGCGUCAGAGACCGGGCUCGCAUCUUUCAUUCGCCUGAGGUGAAAGGUGUUAAAACUCUCUUGGGCAUGUCUUUCCUGAAUCCAGCCUGCAGGAGAUGGGGAAGGCAAGAUUAAAAUGCAGGAUAAGCAUGUAGAUACUUGAGCGAGGGCAUCUUCGGACGCGGGUUCGAUUCCCGCCGCCUCCACCA
rnacentral:tmRNA from 1 species